rnacentral:lncRNA from 10 species
GACACAUGAAGUGCUUCCCUCUGCUGGCAUUGAUUGUGCUUUCACACUCUGUUUCAUGUCCUUCUCUCUUAGUAGCCUGGAGGGCUCACGGCAGGUGUUCCCAGGCUGAGCCCAUAAGAAGUACUCAGUGUAUGUCUGCAGACAGAAGCACUAUUUUCCAUAAAACCUUCUUGGCCUCUAACUGAGCAGCCCUCCAUAGAGGAUUAUUAGUUCAUGCCUCUGUGCAAGAAAGAAAAACAAAAACAAAAUGCAUGAGUUCAUUCACUCUCCCAUCUCCCCUGCUGGCCUGAGAGCACCUGAACAUAGUGAUGGUACUGUAGCCAGUCAUCUGUGCAUCCUCUGUGCUCUGCCCACUGCCUGGCAUGUAGAAUAUGCCCAGCAGGGGAUUUUCAGAGCUGACCAGAUGGGAGAGUGGUGAAACUGAAGAUCAGCCCUUUUCCCUGCCUGUAAGCACCUCUAGGAAAAGAUUUAAGAGAUGUUGCAAACAAAUCACUCCAACGUAUUUGGGAUUGCUCAUUGUGAUGCCUGAUCUGUGCCAGCCUCUUCCUACCACAUCUAUGACUGUUACAGGGGUAACUGUUCCAUCCCUUAGUCUGCAGCACCCGGAAUGGAUGUGGAAUCACUGAAGGAGGUGAGUGGGGAAGAAGACAAGUUGGAUCCUGACAGUUUAAACCCAGGUGUUUUGCAAAUCCAUCCCUUAGUCUGCAGCACCCGGAAUGGAUGUGGAAUCACUGAAGGAGGUGGGUUGGAAAGAAGACAAGUUGGAUCCUGACAGUUUAAACCCAGGUGUUUUGCAAAUCCUUCCAAAAUAUCACUUGGCUUUUCCUCUCCAUACCUCCUCCCUUGCCCAGUUGGAAAAAAUAACAACAACAACAACAACAACAACAACAACAACAACCUGCAGUACGUGUGCCCACAUCCUCCUCUGGAUGAAAUAGAGUUGCACAGAGAAAAGGAAAGUUGAUUUCCUAGUUAUUCUCCCACACAUGGAGUUCUGGGUGGCACCAUCCCACACUAUUUGCAUCACUGAGCUACACACUCUGCCAAGACUGCCUCUUAAAUUUAAACACAUUUUGAUGAAAAUAGAGAAAGGCUGAGGAAGAAAGGUUAACACUUCCCCAUAAGAGGUGCGUAAGCACUAUACAUCGUAUGUUUUUCUUCUGGCUCUUGGAUUAGGACAGAAUGUUAAUUAAAAAGUAAAAAGCUGAUCUUCUGAGCAGCAAUUAAUUUCAGGAUUGCUCUUCUUUCAUCUGUUGGGUCUUUGCAUUUCUGAAGACGUGGUGGAAAAUAUUUCCUAGGGGUCUUUCUAAUACACAUUUUCAUUUGAUUGUUUUGAUCUUUAGGCUACAUGUUGACUUAAAAAGGAACCAAUAUUACAAAAAGAAAUGUCAUUCCAAGGUUCUGGAUUCUGAUUAUCGCUCUGGUGACACAGAUGAGAUUGGCUCCAGGCAUAUACACAUUGGUUAGCUGGUUCUGCCCAAUCCCUGUCUGGAGUUGAAUGUUCCAUUUAGUCAAGACUGCCAAGCAGCAACAUAACUGGAUUCAUUAGCUUGAGUUCUGAAAGCUCCUCUUAAAAGUUGUUUUUGUAUUCAUACUACUUUAAUAUUUAGGGACAGGCUGCACCAUUUUCUAGGUUG